rnacentral:rRNA from 1 species
UGAGGAAUAUUGGUCAAUGGGCGGGAGCCUGAACCAGCCAAGUAGCGUGCAGGAUGACGGCCCUAUGGGUUGUAAACUGCUUUUGCGCGGGGAUAAAGUGCGCCACGUGUGGCUCAUUGCAGGUACCGCGCGAAUAAGGACCGGCUAAUUCCGUGCCAGCAGCCGCGGUAAUACGGAAGGUCCGGGCGUUAUCCGGAUUCAUUGGGUUUAAAGGGAGCGCAGGCCGCCCCUUAAGCGUGUUGUGAAAUGCCGCGGCUCAACCGUGGCACUGCAGCGCGAACUGGGGGGCUUGAGUGCGCGCAGCGCAGGCGGAACUCGUGGUGUAGCGGUGAAAUGCUUAGAUAUCACGAAGAACUCC